AAGGGCACCACAAGAACGCGUGGAGCAUGUGGCUUAAUUUGACUCAACGCGGGAAAUCUUACCGGGUCCGGACACACUGAGGAUUGACAGGCAAUAUUAAUACGUGUUCGCACGUAUUAUGUUAAAUAUGCUAGUCCUUUCAUGAUUAUGUGAUAGGUGGUGCAUGGCCGUUCUUAGUUCGUGGAGUGAUCUGUCUGCUUAAUUGCGUUUCACUAAGGGCCUAUAAAUUUACGUGUGUUGCGGCACUUUGACCCCUUUCUUCGGAAAGCGCGUGUCUUAGUUUGCUUUGCUCACACAAUUAGGUCCUGAAAGCAACGAACGUGACCGCAACCUCUUGUUGCCUUUAUACCAAACAUGUUUGACAUUUUUAUGGCAUUCAUGAAAAAAGGCUUUUUAAACUAGAGGGACCGCUGUUACCUUCUUAAACCAGAGGAAGGUUGCGGCAAUAACAGGUCUGUGAUGCCCUUAGAUGUUCCGGGCUGCACACGUGCUACAAUGAUUAUUGCAGUGAGCAUCUCAUUUUUACACACCGCAUGCGCGAGUCCAUUUAUUCACUUCGGUGCUUUAAAUGUGUAUUUCUGCGCGCGGUAAAGCCUGCUUCGAAAGUAAGUGGGUAAUCAAUUAGAAGUAAUGAUUUCCUUUUUAGCACACAUAUAUACGGCGUCUAUACCCGGGUUACCUUGUUGUAACUUUUGUGUGUAUAGAUGUUUUUUCCGUAUGUGCGAUUGUCAAUUCAUGGKGGGGACAGACCAUUGUUAAUUGUUGGUCUCGGUYUUAACUAGGAAUGCCUUGUACGGGUCUUUGGUUCAACAAACCACCCGGAAUACGUCCCUGCCCUUUGUACACACCGCCCGUC
rnacentral:rRNA from 1 species